rnacentral:rRNA from 1 species
UGAUUUGCUCUACCACCCGUCUCAGCCACCGGCGGCGAGCUCAGAUGGGCGCCCGGGCGCGCCGCGCCGCCCACCACCCCGCUCGCCUCCGCCUCCGCCACCGCCACCUUCUCCUCCUCCCGCUGCUGCUCCUCUUCCUCCUCCCGCCCCUCUCCGCGCUCCUCCUCCGCCGCGCCAACUCCCUGCGCCGCCGGUGCCUACCCCCCGCCGCAGGGCGCCGCCCCCUCGCCGGGCAGCGGCUCAGCUUCUCUAUCGUCACGCUCUCCGACGAGGGCCUGUCGGGCCGAGGCGUGCGGGGGCGGUCUUUCCGCGGCGUGCUGGCGGCCACCGCGCGGAACAAGCGCGCGUACGCGGCCGCGCACGGGUACGGCUUCGCCGCGCUGCCCCCCGGCGCGGUCGACCCCGGCCGCCCGCCCGCCUGGAGCAAGGUCCUUGCCCUCCGCGCCCGCCUGCGCCGCCACCACUGGCUCUUCUGGAACGACGCGGAUACGCUGGUUACUAACCCUGACAUCUCGUUGGAGGAGAUUUUGUUCUCGGUGAUUGGGCAUAGUGAUUUUGAUGCAUCGCCUGAUCUCAUUCUGACAGAGGACAUCAAUGGGGUUAAUGCCGGACUGUUCUUCAUAAGGAGGUCGAAAUGGAGUGAGAGAUUUUUAGAUACAUGGUGGAACCAUACAUCAUUUGUACAAUUUGGUUCCACAAAAAGUGGGGAUAAUGCAGCACUGAAGCAUAUCGUGGAUCACUUGUCACCUGAAGAAACAAAAGAACACGUCCGUAUAGCAAAAAUGCAGUGCCUCUUCAACUCAUAUCCUUGGGUUGCUACGUGGAAAUCAGUUCACCGCCUGAUCUUCCACCCAUCCACUACAUGGAAAGGGGCUUAUUCAGAUGGAGAUUUCAUGGUCCAUUUUGCUGGCCUAAAUGACAAGCGAGGCUGGACAUCAAGAAUUCUUAGAGAGAUAACUCACCGAUGAGGAUAAUUACCCCAAUUUUAAAGUGAUCGAUGGAGGAUCCAGAAUUUUAUGUGAAGAGCCUGAUUGUUUUUGCAUCAUAUUCUGUUGUAGACUGCCAUUUUAGUUGGACAGCAUGUUCCGUUUCUAAUCAUCUAUUAUUAAAAGGUGUUUGAUUCAGAAGCACAACACAUCCAUCUGCCUCCUUUAAUACCUCGCCAAUAUCCACCGAUCUCUCACAUCCAACAGAUCGACAUUACAACACUACAUCAACCCAUCAAGGCUUCUCUGCCAUCACCGGGGAAUGUGGAGCUGCUGCUGCUGCUGCACGACUUACCCCAUGGCUAGCGGCACCGCCCCUGGCCCAAGCCCCCGGUGCCUGCCUCCAUGGGGUUAGUGUAAAAAGUGGCAGCAUUGGACCUUGGCAUGCCACUGACAUUCUUGAGAGGCACCUGUUGUCGUCCACUUCGUGUGUGUCUACGAAUCUGCAGGUCCCAGGCCGGUCUCUACUGCCAUGCCAUGGUCGGAGACAUAUCCUCCCGUACAUCGUGGGCGAGGAUGAAGAAGAACAUGACGAUGAGCUUCCCGACGAGGAGCCGGCGUUUUUGCCAGUUGAACGAGCUCACCAUGUGGACCGCCUCUUCCUCGACAAGUGCCAGGGAGAUCUGCUCGUGCCAUGAUGAGGUCGUUCAACCAGCAAAACGGCGGCGGUCGUCGUCAUCGGCUGGUUCGGUGGCGCCCAAGCCCUCGCGGGACACGAGGCGCAGGACCUACAAGGUGGUAGGAGGCGGUUACCUUUAGGCACUCGUCAGUGACCAACAUGUUCUUGAGAACUGGGUGUCACCCUAUUGGCUAGGCCUGCAAGGAGUGCAGUUAGCCCGCCCGCGUUCGGCCAGCCGGGUGUCGGUGGUGGCGACCUCAUAGCCGGCAAAGCGCGCCUCGCCGUUCACCUCUUGAGCGUGGAACGGACGGUACCUCUCCACGGCGUCGUGUGGGCCUGAGGCAUAGCAGUUGGUGAUGGCGAAGCGGCGCUCGGCCCCGGCUCUUGUUUUCAAGAAUGCGGAUUUAGUUCUGCACAUGAAGUAGUGAGGAUAUGCUUGGAAGACGAAAACAGCCUCCGAGAUGAUACCCAUGAUUUGCUCUAGCUCGAGCCUCUAUGAUUUGUUUGUGUGUCGUCUGAUCACGGCAAUGUGUUCUCGUUUAUGAGCUUGAUCUACCUAUAGUAGGAACUUUUGUUCCACGAACUGUAGGAUUAUUUGCCAACUGAAACUGGAACUUGAACGGUUCAGGCUCAACUUGUCGGUCAAUUCAACCUCUUGCUGCUGGGUUUGGGAGUAGUACAUAUGUAAAACACAUCAUGGGAGCCCUCACUGCAGCCUGGGCAGGCUCUUUUUCUUUUUUGUAACUUUUUUCGAAAAGGUUCUUUUUUGUAACUUACAAGAGGUUAUUGUUUGUCCCCGUCAGGUGCCGCUGAAGCAAACUUUGGCGUCGAUCAAGCACUGAUCGCGGUAUCAUGUACGAGUAAUACUGAUGACGGUGGUUGCUGUAAGCCAGUUGGGUGGGUUCUUGAGAGCCUGUCGUGCAAAGAGAUAAUGCUGUGAAUGUGAUGGUUAAACUCGACGUGGUUUAUUGUUGUGGGGCAACUAUCACGCUCACACUCAACAUACAUUUGAAAUCUCUGAUAUGUUAGAAGGAGCAGUGGUGAACCAUAUUGUCUGGCUCUACUGACUCCUGUUGCUAUAUCAUGAACUGAAUCAUAGAUUAUUUCAGUUGUCUGUAUGAUUACAAAUAGAAAUAGAUUCUGUGGUUGAAGAAGCUAAAAAAUGAAUCAGAUUGUGUGGCUAAAGAAGUUUAAAAUAUAACUGCAGAUUAUUUGUAGGCGCUUCAGAUUCUGUGAGGAAAAAAAUAGUUAGAUUAU